UGCAGCUCGAGCUGCGCUUAACAUAACAGUACGGUAUGGCGCACGGCGCACGGGUGCGUAACACGUGGGCAAUCUGCCCUUCGAUGGGGAAUAUCUUCGGGAAACCGAAGCGAAUUCCGCAUAACAUUCCUUGGACUUCGGUUCGAGGACUCAAAGCCGUAAGGCGUCGAAGGAGGAGCCCGCGCCCGAUUAGCUAGUUGGUGAGGUAACGGCUCACCAAGGCAAUGAUCGGUAGCUGGUCUGAGAGGAUGGCCAGCCACACUGGAACUGAGACACGGUCCAGACUCCUACGGGAGGCAGCAGUGGGGAAUCUUGCGCAAUGGGCGAAAGCCUGACGCAGCGACGCCGCGUGGGGGAUGAAGCAUCUCGGUGUGUAAACCCCUUUCGACUGGGACGAAUGCCUCGCAAGAGGAGUGACGGUACCAGUAGAAGAAGCCCCGGCUAACUACGUGCCAGCAGCCGCGGUAAGACGUAGGGGGCCAGCGUUGUUCGGAAUUACUGGGUGUAAAGGGUUCGUAGGCGGUGUGGCAAGUCGGGAGUGAAAUUUCUGGGCUUAACCCAGAAGCUGCUUCCGAAACUGCUGUGCUAGAGUGUGGGAGAGGCGCGUGGAAUUGCAGGUGUAGCGGUGAAAUGCGUAGAUAUCUGCAGGAACACCCGUGGCGAAAGCGGCGCGCUGGACCACUACUGACGCUGAGGAACGAAAGCUAGGGGAGCAAACAGGAUUAGAUACCCUGGUAGUCCUAGCCCUAAACGAUCAGGACUUGGGGUGCCACCCGUUCGGGUGUCGUCCCGGAGCUAACGCGUUAAGUCCUGCACCUGGGGAGUACGGUCGCAAGACUGAAACUCAAAAGGAAUUGACGGGGGGCCCG
rnacentral:rRNA from 1 species